CUUCACUCUUCUUGAUUUUUAUAAUCAUACAACCAAUUUCCAUUUUGCUCUCAACCAUAAAUCAAUUCACAAAACUGAGAUAUCAUCCCCUUUGUUCCUCCAAUUGCUCGAACCACCACCACCAACAACAGCCACCUCAACCACCGUCCACCACCAUUAUCACCACCACUCAACACCGCCCAAUCACCCUCGACCACCACCGCACUUCCCUCACCCUCUCCCUCCUCCGCACGUGUCCCCUGCCCUGUUCCCCUGUCUCCCUUCCCUUCUCUGACACGCUGCACCACCCACGCCACACACCACCGUCCACCCUCGCCACCAUCACCUACCACCAGUCGCAACACCCCAGCCACCCAGACCACCGUGGCCCCUACAGCACCACCGCACACACCACCUCCUUCCUCUGCUCCCUCCUCUCUUCUCGCCUCCCCUGCCUCGUUCUCUCUUUCUCUCGUCGCACCACCUCCCACAACCACAACCACCUCCAGCCAUUUUCGUCACCUUGCCAAACAGCCUCCGCCCCAAAAUAACCCAGCAAGCCACCCCCCUACUCCUCCCAGAACCGCCGCAAACCACCACACAAAUCUCCCCUGUUUCUUUCCCCUUUUCGCGCAAAUCACCACCUCCCCUCACCGCUCCGCCGCCGUGAACCAACCAACUCACCGCCGCAUUAAUUGGCACCACCCAGCCCCAAUCGCCUCCCUCCCUUUCUCUUUCCUCCUCUCCCUCCUCCCUGUCGUGCCUCCUUUCAAAAAAACCCAAAACCAAAAAUUAGAAUUUUAGACUUUGUUUUUAUUUUCCCUCAAACCCAUUUUGAGUUUGGGCCAUUUCAAAUUGGGCCUUGAAAUUGGACUCAGAGCUCAGGACGAACGAACCAACGAAAAUCCUUAGCAAAAUCGUGGAAGUGAGGUACUGCUGGAAACGACGGAAACGAGUAGUGGCGAGGAUUUCACUUUAAUAUUAUUCACCUAGUUUAUGCUUAAUGCUUUAAUAGCUUAAUUAAAGACUUUUAGUAAGUUAUGUACUUUUAUUUUGGUAUUAUAAAGGAUUAUUAUAUAUAUUUUUGGAGUAA